UGGUGACGCUGUGAAGGUGCGUGGAAUGAUGGGAUCUGUUGUUUUCAACUCCACUGCUGAUGGAAGGAGGCCUCUGGUGCAAACGGAAUGCAGUCAAUGAACAAUAUUAGAUACUCGAUCCGUCUCGGUGGUCUGCCAUGGCUGUACCAAGAGGGGGUAUCCCGCCUAACCUACUGCUGAGAAUAAAUGACGUCAUAGCCGCUGUGGUGUACCCAAAGUGGAGGUUCAUCUGGUUUAUCUACUUUACGCAACCAAUGGCUCAUUACACUACGGUGGCUGACACAGGACUAAGAUGUCGUCAUGUGUUUGCUUCUUUGAUGAAGGACUUGACGUAUUUACGAAAUGCUCUUUAGAGGUUCAUCUGGUUUAUCUACUUUAUUUGAUCUGUUUUUAUGGGUUAUUUUAAUUUGUUUAUGGGGCGGUGUCCCGGACGGGGCUUAAGCCUAGUCCCAGACUAACUGAAAUGUUAGAGGCGUCUUAAACAGAAACAAUUUACACCGGGAUAUCUUAAAUAUUUAUAUUUUUUAAAUAUAAUUUUGUCUGAAAAUGCACACCAGUAUCGUUUACCAGUAUCGUAGCCCUAUAUGCUAUAAUGUUUAAUUUCGAACAAGGAGGAAAACAUGAGGCUUUGAGUUGCAAAUAAACAUUAAUUCCUCUUCAUGGCAAAUACCAGGAUACGUUGUAUAUCACCAUUCAUCCCAAAAAUACCAAGAUGAAAUUAGGUCAAUAUCGCCCAGCCCUAGUUGCUAUGGUAAUGCUAGCUCGAAUAAAAAGAGUUCUCUGUGAUGUCCAAUAUAGUUGUCUCUAGAUAUGAAAAAUCUACAGCAUUUUUCCCAGAUUUUUCAAUUGCCAGACAAAAAUCAUGAAUCUGUUUACUUCGAGUAAAUACACUUGUCCUCGACAAGCCAUAUCAUUCUCGUCCAGCACAAAUGGUGCAAGGCUAGGUAAAUGUUUUGUCUAAAUCCGAAGUAAACAUCUCUUAUAACAAAGCACCAGAGAGAAAUGUAAGUGGGUGACCCAAUUACUGAGAGAUAAGAAAAUGCCCAACUUUAAAAAUAUGAUCACGGUGAUCAUUCACAUCACUCUCAGAUAAAACGUUAGUUGCCAAAGAAGAAAAUAACAACUUGGGUUAAUAACGGCGAAUGCAAUGCAUGAUUAAAUUCACAUUAUUUAUUUAACAACAAAGAACAUCACCCUUUCAUCGCUAAUGAUGGAAAAAGAGAGCUUUAUAUAACACCGAAAGUGAAGCUCCGUGGAUGUCAUUUGUAUCGUGCCAGUGAAUAUGAAUGUAUGAAGUGAUUCUCAUAUCUUGUAUUGCUGCUGUCAUUAUGGUCUUUAUUCAGUCCUGUUGGCAUGGCAACUGAGUUAAGCCCUCGCUGUUAUCAAAGCAAACCUAUUGGGGCAGAGUGUGGAAGCGUAUGUGUGUUUGUGUAGUAUUCUGCAGUAAUAAAUACAGUGCAUUUAGGCAUUGUCAGAGACAAAGUUUUUCAGUUGUGUGUAUGCAACGUCUGAAACAUUUGCUUUAUACUGUAACAUACAGGGUGAACUACGUAAAAGAUUAAGCCCUCAUGCGUAGCCAGGGAAUUUCCCAAUCUAUUAAUCUUAUCGAAAUAAGGA